GCGCAUGCGCAAGCAUUAUUUCUGGUGCACAUCCGGGUUAGAGGAGGCCCCUAGCACAAGCUAUUUCCGGUGCUCCUCCAACCCAGAAGCGCACCGGAAAUAGUGUGUGCGCAUGCG